AGCAGGAGCAAGUAGCGGAGGGUGGAGACGGGAGGGGAGAGCAGGGGAGAGAGGAGAGAGAGAAGGGGGGUUAGCAGAGGUGGGGCUGCAGAGGGAGGGGGGACAGACACAGGCAGCCUUUCGCGGGAACAGGAAAUCUCUCACUCUCAGCUGGCAACAAACAAAUGUGCUUCACAGAAAAUAGAAUGGAUUCUGAACGCACCACUACACCAAAGCCUUCCAAGUUGCACCAUUAGGGGAUUUAAUUUUCCCGUACAAAGCAGUGCGUGAAAUUAGCCCAUUGACAAGGUAUUUUUUACUCAGUCCAUUCCACAUAGUCACCUUCCUGAGACCCGAGAGCGACGGACAUUAGCGAGCACCGUGCUGUGCUGUACUGAUGGGUGGCUAACGGACGGCGAUCGUCCGUGCUUCCCAAGCGCCGCCACCGACAAAAUGGCUGCGGGGGAAAUCAACUGCAACCCAGAGCCUUCUUCAGAGAUAAGCCAGGCACCUUUUGACAGAUGGCCUUUUCACCAGCACUUAUUUAAAAUGGCAAGCGGAGGGUAAAUUAGAUCGGCGACCUCUGCAGAUGAGAAAUAUCGAACGGGACAGUGACGUGUAAUCAAGGAUAUAACAUAGAGCUGGAAACUGCAUAGAAUCACUAUGUGUGUCACUUUCUAGAAGAUGCCAAACUGGCAAGGCUUUGCUCAGUCUGUCUGGUUUAUCCUGGAAAAACUAUGAUUUAAAUCAAGCACUACUGUGUAAUUAUGGUUAAUAAAAUAAUAAUGAUAAUGAUAAUAAAAAAUUUACAGAAAUGCUUUACAAGAUAAGCGGUAGAUUUUCAGUUGACCUUCAUAUCGUUUUAUAUUAAUAUUUGUAGUAUUUGUAUCUGUAGCUCACUCUUAGAAUAGACUGGAAAAAAGCAUAUUAACUUUCUGGGCACCAUGAAUUGAGUCUGCAGCUGUGUGCUAGUAACUGAUGUCAGCCUAUGGCCGCCCACAGGGCCCAGAGGACGGAACAGAAGGAGAGGAGUCGUCUCUGCAGAUGCCUGCUCUGCAUUCCUAAGUACUCCUUUUUUCUGUCGCUUUGCUUUUGACAGGCUUGUACGCAGACUGAAGACCGCGUCUGAUACCUUGGAGGUGCCCUGGAACUGCUGUGCAUACACUGAUAUCCGGUUCCUCCCCCCACAGGUCAAAAUUACUCUGAACCAAGUCGAACUGGGCAGCUUCCCUUCAAACACAGCUGACUGAUUUCUGUGCCAGACCAUGCUGUGUUGUGGCUAAGAUCCCAAUAUUUCCUGUAAUGUUGAUACUUCAGCAGUUUUACCUGAAGGCUUUUUUUAUAGAGGCCUUACCAUGGUAAAUGGCGCCACUGUUGCCACUGAGAUAGGACUCCACGAGCGGCGCCUGCUCCUCCGACUGCCUGGUCCUGCGGACACGCGAGCGUCCAUCUACAUUAGCCUGCACCAUCAGGGGUUCCUGCCGCUUCUUCUUCUGCUUCUGCUCCAGCAGGGCGCGCUGCAGGCAGGAACGCCAACAUACACACUGUACUAACAUUUUUGUGUAAGUAAAACUCCCAUGAGCAAAAGCAUCCAAACUGAAGUGAAGCAACGUGACGCAAAGGACAGCUGAGAUAAUCCACGGCCGGACUCUGCUACUCGCUGCUGACAAGGAGGAUACUGAUCAGACUGCUGAUUGCAGCUUUCCAAUCAGGGUGUGUGGCUCUGCGGGAGAGGAUGCAGUGCCUGUGAGCAGAAGGUCAUCACUGCUGGCACCUAGAGCAACCCGGAACCCGGAACCCGGAACCGCUCUGGGGACAGGCUGACCCCGCUUUCUCUAUUGUACAUCACUUCGGAUAAAAGCGUCUGUAAAUAAAUGCUGGUAGCACUGAGCUCAUGGGAGUUAGCUAGUGCUGGUCUAACCACUGUGUCUGGACCAAUGAAGACCCACCCAUUCUGCCAGGCCGCAGAGGAUGACAGGAGCCGGUGGCGGCCCAUGGGUUCUGCGCCGUUCACUCUUUCCACCCUGUCUGCC